rnacentral:rRNA from 1 species
UACAGAGGGUGCAAGCGUUGUUCGGAAUUAUUGGGCGUAAAGGGCGCGUAGGCGGUGCCACAAGUCACCCUGUGAAAUCUCCGGGCUUAACUCGGAGCCUGCAGGCGGAAACUGUGGUGCUGGAGUGUGGGAGAGGUGGCGUGGAAUUCCCGGAUGUAGCGGUGAAAUGCGUAGAUAGUCGGGAGGAACACCUGUGGCGAAAGCGGCGCACUGGGACCAAUAACUGACCGCUGGAUGACGCGAAAGCUAGGGGAGCAAACAGG